AUUGAACGCUGGCGGCAGGCCUAACACAUGCAAGUCGAGCGGAGCGGCGGACGGGUGAGUCAUGCCUAGGAAUCUGCCUGGUCUUGGGGGAUAACGUCCGGAAACGGGCGCUAAUACCGCAUACUCUCAUAUGAGCCUAGGUCGUCUUAGCUAGUUGGUGGGGUAAAGGCCUACCAAGGCGACGAUCCGUAACUGGUCUGAGAGGAUGAUCAGUCACAAUGGAACUGAGACACGGUCCAGACUCCUACGGGAGGCAGCAGUGGGGAAUAUUGGACAAUGGGCGAAAGCCUGAUCCAGCCAUGCCGCGUGUGUGAAGAAGGUCUUCGGAUUGUAAAGUACUUUAAGUUGGGAGGCGUUACCAACAGAAUAAGCACCGGCUAACUUCGUGCCAGCAGCCGCGGUAAUUC
rnacentral:rRNA from 1 species